rnacentral:rRNA from 1 species
GAUAAACGCUAGCGGCAGGCUUAACACAUGCAAGUCGAGGGGCAGCACAGAUUGUAGCAAUACAAUUGGUGGCGACCGGCGCACGGGUGCGUAACGCGUAUGCAACCUACCCGUCACAGGGGGAUAAUCCGGAGAAAUCUGGUCUAAUACCCCAUAACAUAUGGAUCGGCAUCGGUUCAUGUUGAAAUUUUCGGAGGUGACGGAUGGGCAUGCGUAGCAUUAGCUUGUUGGUGAGGUAACGGCUCACCAAGGCGACGAUGCUUAGGGGGACUGAGAGGUUUUCCCCCCACACUGGUACUGAGACACGGACCAGACUCCUACGGGAGGCAGCAGUGAGGAAUAUUGGUCAAUAGGCGCAAGCCUGAACCAGCCAUGCCGCGUGCAGGAUGACGGCUCUAUGAGUUGUAAACUGCUUUUGUACGAGGGUAAAGUGGGUUACGUGUAACCUUUUGAAAGUAUCGUACGAAUAAGGAUCGGCUAACUCCGUGCCAGCCGCCGCAGUAA